AAACAGCUCACUAAAGAACUGAAAACUAAAGUUGCUGAUAAUGAAUUGUAUACUGCCAAACUAAUGAAGGAGAGGGAGCAAUGGAGUCAAACCAAAGAGACUAGUUCCAAAGAAGUGCAAUUUGAUUACAUGAUCCCUUCAAUGGAUAAUUUGGAAUGUCUAAGUGAUGUCCAGGUAGCAGAGAAGAAGCUGUUCUUAAUUCAAGGAGACAAACCUCAACUGAUGAAUUGGGA